GUCUCCGUUAGGUGAACCUGCGGAGGGAUCAUUACACAACAAAAUAUGAAGGCCUGGCUUCACGGCCGGCUGAAAUAUUUUUUUUCACCCAUGUCUUUUGCGCACUUGUUGUUUCCUGGGCGGGUUCGCCCGCCACCAGGACCAAACCAUAAACCUUUUUUUUAUGCAGUUGCAAUCAGCGUCAGUAAAAACAAUGUAAUUAAUUACAACUUUCAACAACGGAUCUCUUGGUUCUGGCAUCGAUGAAGAACGCAGCGAAAUGCGAUACGUAGUGUGAAUUGCAGAAUUCAGUGAAUCAUCGAAUCUUUGAACGCACAUUGCGCCCUUUGGUAUUCCAAAGGGCAUGCCUGUUCGAGCGUCAUUUGUACCUUCAAGCUUUGCUUGGUGUUGGGCGUUUUUUGUCUCCCUCUUUCUGGGAGACUCGCCUUAAAACGAUUGGCAGCCGGCCUACUGGUUUCGGAGCGCAGCACAUCAUUUGCACUUUGUAUCAGGAGAAAAGGACGGUAAUCCAUCAAGACUCUACAUUUUUAACUUUUGACCUCGGAUCAGGUAGG
rnacentral:rRNA from 1 species